rnacentral:rRNA from 1 species
AUGCCUCAGUAACGGCGAGUGAAGCGGCAACAGCUCAAAUUUGAAAUCUGGCUCUUUCAGGGUCCGAGUUGUAAUUUGUAGAAGAUGCUUUGGGUGUAGCUCCGGUCUAAGUUCCUUGGAACAGGACGUCAUAGAGGGUGAGAAUCCCGUAUGUGACUGGGUGCUUUCGCUCGUGUAAAGCUCUUUCGACGAGUCGAGUUGUUUGGGAAUGCAGCUCAAAAUGGGUGGUAAAUUUCAUCUAAAGCUAAAUAUUGGCCAGAGACCGAUAGCGCACAAGUAGAGUGAUCGAAAGAUGAAAAGCACUUUGGAAAGAGAGUUAAACAGUACGUGAAAUUGUUGAAAGGGAAGCGCUUGCAACCAGACUUGCGCGCUGUUGAUCAUCCGAGCUUCUGCCCGGUGCACUCGACAGCGUUCAGGCCAGCAUCGGUUUUGGUGGGCGGAUAAAGGCCUUGGGAAUGUAGCUUCUUUCGGGGAGUGUUAUAGCCCUCGGUGCAAUGCGCCUUACCGGGACCGAGGACCGCGCUUCGGCUAGGAUGCUGGCGUAAUGGUUGUAAGCGACCCGUCUUGAAACACGGACCAAGGAGUCUAACAUCUAUGCGAGUGUUUGGGUGUCAAACCCAUACGCGUAAUGAAAGUGAACGGAGGUGAGAACCCUUAAGGGUGCAUCAUCGACCGAUCCUGAUGUCUUCGGAUGGAUUUGAGUAAGAGCAUAACUGUUGGGACCCGAAAGAUGGUGAACUAUGCCUGAAUAGGGUGAAGCCAGAGGAAACUCUGGUGGAGGCUCGCAGCGGUUCUGACGUGCAAAUCGAUCGUCAAAUUUGGGGUAUAGGGGCGAAAGACUAAUCGAACCAUCUAGUAGCUGGUUUCCUGCCGAAGUU